UAGUGACUGAACAGUAAUAAAAUUGGUUUAUUUUAUAGUCUCAUUGCCUCCGAAAGCGCAAAGCAAAAGAACCGAUCAUAUCACCAUCAACAAGUCGACUGACUGCACUCACUGCAGCUGAGAGAGCUAAAAGGUAUCGAGAUCAGAAAAAAAAUGAUCCAUACUUCAAAGAAAAAGAAAAACUUAGAAAAAAAAUUGCUUGGGCCCAGAGGACGGACGAGCAAAAGGAAAGAAAUAGAAAACAGAAUAGAGAGAAUCAGCAAAGAUACCGUGAACGAAAGAGGGAGAAGGGGAUUGAAUCGAAACAGAAAUGUUCUAAGGUACUGACAAGAAAUGAAAGAGAAAAGCAAAGACAGUAUUGGAGAGUUAAACAAAAAGAAUCACGGGAAAGAAGGCAUCCACAAAAAAUUAGAAGAAAGAAAGAAAAAGACAGAGAGAGGCAAAGGAAAAAAAGAUUUAACAUCAAACUUAAAGCCAUGGAGAAAAAAAUUGAGAAGA